AUUGAACGCUGGCGGCAGGCCUAACACAUGCAAGUCGAGCGAGGGGCGGACGGUUGAGUAAUGUAUGGGGACUGUCCGAAAGAGGGGCAUAACAGCUGGAAACGGUGGCUAAAACCGCGCACUGUCGGAUUAGCCAUAUGGGAUUAGCUAGUAGGUAAGGUAAUGGCUUACCUAGGCGACGAUCCCUAGCCGGUCUGAGAGGAUGAUCAGCCACACUGGGACUGAGACACGGCCCAGACUCCUACGGAGGCAGCAGUGGGGAAUAUUCGACAAUGGGCGCAAGCCUGAUGCAGCCAUGCCGCGUGUAUGAAGAAGGCCCUAGGGUUGUAAAGUACUUUCAGUCGGGAGGCGUUACCGACAGAAGAAGCACCGGCUAACUCCGUGCCAGCAGCCGCGGUAAUAC
rnacentral:rRNA from 1 species